rnacentral:rRNA from 1 species
UACGUAGGGUGCAAGCGUUGUCCGGAAUUAUUGGGCGUAAAGAGCUCGUAGGCGGUCUGUCACGUCGGCUGUGAAAACCCGAGGCUCAACCUCGGGCCUGCAGUCGAUACGGGCAGACUAGAGUUCGGUAGGGGAGACUGGAAUUCCUGGUGUAGCGGUGAAAUGCGCAGAUAUCAGGAGGAACACCGGUGGCGAAGGCGGGUCUCUGGGCCGAAACUGACUCUGAGGAGCGAAAGCGUGGGGAGCGAACAGG